rnacentral:precursor_RNA from 1 species
AGGUUCUGUGAUACACUCCGACUCGGGCUCUGGAGUAGUCAGUGCAUGACAGAACUUGGGC